rnacentral:rRNA from 1 species
UAGGGAAUAUUGCGCAAUGGACGAAAGUCUGACGCAGCAACGCCGCGUGUGCGAUGAAGGCCUUCGGGUUGUAAAGCACUUUUCUGAGGGAAGAGAAAGGACGGUACCUCAGGAAUAAGUCUCGGCUAACUACGUGCCAGCAGCCGCGGUAAUACGUAGGAGGCGAGCGUUAUCCGGAUUUAUUGGGCGUAAAGGGCGUGCAGGUGGUUUGGAAAGUUGGGUAUGAAAUCUCCUGGCUUAACUAGGAGAGGCUGCUCAAAACUUCCAGGCUAGAGGACGGUAGAGGGAGGUGGAAUUCCCGGUGUAGUAGUGAAAUGCGUAGAUAUCGGGAGGAACACCAGUGGCGAAGGCGGCCUCCUGGGCCGUUCCUGACACUGAGACGCGAAAGCAUGGGUAGCGAACG